AAUUUGUUUAAUUUCAUAGCCGACUCUGUGAAUGUGGCUGCGAUUGUGUUGUCUGCACUAACCGGAGUGAUAUUUCUAGUUUUCCUUUUCUAUGUUCCAUACAUUUCUAUAAAAAGAAGAAAACAAGGCAAAAACCAACAAUAAGGUGAACGCUAAAGGUUUUAAAAAAAAAUCUAACUAAAGAUAUCCUUUGGAAAUAAUUUUCAUUUAGCUAAAUGAUACAUCUCAACAUUCACAUCAGAAGAUGUGGUAAUCUAAUUACAGUUUUGCCAAUUGUUUCUUUCCUGAAACUCAUGAAAAAUAUAAAAUACUAUGUAAGAUUUUAUCUUUUAUUUUAAUAUAAGACCACAUAUAUAAGCAUACACUAAGGUCUGUCAUACAUUAGUUAUCCAAAGAAUAAAAUACAUUUUGCAAUCUGC